rnacentral:lncRNA from 1 species
AGGCCAGCUCAGAAACCAGAGAGGCGUCUUUCUAAUCCCAAAGCAGAGGCAGUGAGGAAAAGCUGCCUGGAAAAAGGAGAAUUACCUUUUAAAGAAGGAGAAACUUCCAGGACUCACAGCAUCCAAGAGCCACCCAAAGUGCCGGGAGACCCUGGUGGGGAAGUGUUGGUCCAGCUCUCAGCAGAUGGGAGUCGUCUUCCCACUUUUUCCUUCCCUCCUCGAAAUUCCAACUGAUUUCAAAUGAAAUCAGCAUUUGCCAGGGGAUGCCACUCCCUGCAGCAAAGCUGACAGCAGGAAUUACCGUCCUUGGAUCCUGCUGGAGUUUCCCCCUGACCCUGAACUGCCCAUGUGCAGCGCAUUUCCAGACACGUGGCUGGGAAGUGCUGUGUGAAAAACCCAGGCAUUGUUAUUAUGAAACCUCCAGGAACAAAAUGAAUGGAUUAAUAAACUCCAGAGUCAUUAAACCAAACCUCAUGUGGAUGGAGGAGCCCAGAGCGGAGCAAACCUUGAGCAAACCCAGAUUUUCCCAAGGAAACACAAACUGGCUUUAA